GACGAACGCUGGCGGCGUGCUUAACACAUGCAAGUCGAACGGAAAGGCCCUGCUUUUGUGGGGUGCUCGAGUGGCGAACGGGUGAGUAACACGUGAGUAACCUGUCCUUGACUUUGGGAUAACUUCAGGAAACUGGGGCUAAUACCGGAUAGGAGCUCCUGCUGCAUGGUGGGGGUUGGAAAGUUUCGGCGGUUGGGGAUGGACUCGCGGCUUAUCAGCUUGUUGGUGGGGUAGUGGCUUACCAAGGCUUUGACGGGUAGCCGGCCUGAGAGGGUGACCGGCCACAUUGGGACUGAGAUACGGCCCAGACUCCUACGGGAGGCAGCAGUGGGGAAUAUUGCACAAUGGGCGGAAGCCUGAUGCAGCAACGCCGCGUGCGGGAUGACGGCCUUCGGGUUGUAAACCGCUUUCGCCUGUGACGAAGCGUGAGUGACGGUAAUGGGUAAAGUAGCACCGGCUAACUACGUGCCAGCCGCCGCGGUAA
rnacentral:rRNA from 1 species